rnacentral:rRNA from 1 species
GCAUUUGACCUCAAAUCAGGUAGG